rnacentral:rRNA from 1 species
GAUGAACGCUGGCGGCGUGCCUAAUACAUGCAAGUCGAGCGAACGGACGAGAAGCUUGCUUCUCUGAUGUUAGCGGCGGGCGGGUGAGUAACACGUGGAUAACCUACCUAUAAGACUGGGAUAACUUCGGGAAACCGGAGCUAAUACCGGAUAAUAUUUUGAACCGCAUGGUUCAAAAGUGAAAGACGGUCUUGCUGUCACUUAUAGAUGGAUCCGCGCUGCAUUAGCUAGUUGGUAAGGUAACGGCUUACCAAGGCAACGAUGCAUAGCCGACCUGAGAGGGUGAUCGGCCACACUGGAACUGAGACACGGUCCAGACUCCUACGGGAGGCAGCAGUAGGGAAUCUUCCGCAAUGGGCGAAAGCCUGACGGAGCAACGCCGCGUGAGUGAUGAAGGUCUUCGGAUCGUAAAACUCUGUUAUUAGGGAAGAACAUAUGUGUAAGUAACUGUGCACAUCUUGACGGUACCUAAUCAGAAAGCCACGGCUAACUACGUGCCAGCAGCCGCGGUAAUACGUAGGUGGCAAGCGUUAUCCGGAAUUAUUGGGCGUAAAGCGCGCGUAGGCGGUUUUUUAAGUCUGAUGUGAAAGCCCACGGCUCAACCGUGGAGGGUCAUUGGAAACUGGAAAACUUGAGUGCAGAAGAGGAAAGUGGAAUUCCAUGUGUAGCGGUGAAAUGCGCAGAGAUAUGGAGGAACACCAGUGGCGAAGGCGACUUUCUGGUCUGUAACUGACGCUGAUGUGCGAAAGCGUGGGGAUCAAACAGGAUUAGAUACCCUGGUAGUCCACGCCGUAAACGAUGAGUGCUAAGUGUUAGGGGGUUUCCGCCCCUUAGUGCUGCAGCUAACGCAUUAAGCACUCCGCCUGGGGAGUACGACCGCAAGGUUGAAACUCAAAGGAAUUGACGGGGACCCGCACAAGCGGUGGAGCAUGUGGUUUAAUUCGAAGCAACGCGAAGAACCUUACCAAAUCUUGACAUCCUUUGACAACUCUAGAGAUAGAGCCUUCCUCUUCGGGGGACAAAGUGACAGGUGGUGCAUGGUUGUCGUCAGCUCGUGUCGUGAGAUGUUGGGUUAAGUCCCGCAACGAGCGCAACCCUUAAGCUUAGUUGCCAUCAUUAAGUUGGGCACUCUAAGUUGACUGCCGGUGACAAACCGGAGGAAGGUGGGGAUGACGUCAAAUCAUCAUGCCCCUUAUGAUUUGGGCUACACACGUGCUACAAUGGACAAUACAAAGGGCAGCGAAACCGCGAGGUCAAGCAAAUCCCAUAAAGUUGUUCUCAGUUCGGAUUGUAGUCUGCAACUCGACUACAUGAAGCUGGAAUCGCUAGUAAUCGUAGAUCAGCAUGCUACGGUGAAUACGUUCCCGGGUCU